UACGAAGGGGACUAGCGUUGUUCGGAAUCACUGGGCGUAAAGCGCACGUAGGCGGAUGUGUCAGUCAGGGGUGAAAUCCCGGGGCUCAACCUCGGAACUGCCUUUGAUACAGCACGUCUCGAGUCCGGAAGAGGUGGGUGGAAUUCCUAGUGUAGCGGUGAAAUGCGCAGAUAUCAGGAGGAACACCGGUGGCGAAGGCGGUUCUCUGGGCAUUACCUGACGCUGAGGAGCGAAAGCGUGGGGAGCAAACAGG
rnacentral:rRNA from 1 species